GCUGGGGCCGGAGGGUGGCGCGGAGGCGCCGCCGCCGCCGCCGCGGCAGUGAUUGCCGGGCAUGCCGCCGCCGGGAGGAGGGGCUCGGGCAGCAGCGGCUCCGCCGCGCCCGCAGCAGCAGCAGCAGCGGCAGCAGCGGCGGCGACGCGACGCGAUGGGUCAGGGGCGGUGAUGGCGGAACCGGCGGAGCUGCGGCAGGAGUCGGUGGUGCGGUUCCUGGCGGAGCGGGGCGGGCGGGCCCGCAACGCGGAGCUGCUGGAGCAUUUCCGGGACUGGCUCAGCCCCCCGGAGCCCGGCCGCCGCGCCGCCGCCCGCCACCGCUUCAAGGAGCUGGUCAACGCCGUGGCCACCGUGCGCCAGGAGCCCGGCACCGGCGUCAAGUACGUGCACCUCCGCCGCCGCUACUGCGCCCCGGAGCCCCCCGCCGCCGCCGCCCUGACCCCCGCGGAGGAGGCGGCGGGGGGGGACAGCGCGGAGCGGCCGAGCCCGCCGCCCUCGCCGCGGGCGAGCGCUGACGAGGCGCCGCCGCCGCCGCCGGGCGAAGAUGCCAGCGGCCGCCCUCAGCCCGCGGAGCGGCGGGGGGAGCCGCCCCGUCCGAGCCCGGCGGCGGGCGGAGGCCGGCGGAGGGGCUCCCGGCGGGGGCCGCCGCCCGGGCGCGGAGGCGGCAGCAACGAAGAGGCUGCGGUAACGGCGGGCCCGGCGCGGCCCCCCCCGGCGGAGGAGGUGGGGGCGGCGGAGGGCGCCCCCGGGGCGGCGGCGCAGGGGGGCGGGCGCCGGAGCCUGCGGGAGGCGGCGCGGGGCGGCUCCCCCCAGCUGAAGCGCGGCGCCCUCCCCGGCGGGGCCCGCGGCCGCGACUCGGACAGCGCCUCGGUGGCUUCGUCCUCCGCCGAGGAGGAGGGGAGCACCACCGGCGCCGUGGCCCUGGACCCCCUGGAGCACGCCUGGAUGCUGUCGGCCUCGGACGGGCGGUGGGAGAGCCUGGAGGGGCUGCUGAGCUGCGAGCCGGCGUUGCUCUGCAAGCGGGACUUCAUCACCGGCUUCACGGUGCUGCACUGGGCCGCCAAGCACGGGCGGCAGGAGCUGCUGGCCACGCUGGUCAACUUCGCCCAGCGGCACCGGGUGCCCGUGGACAUCAACGCCCGCACCAGCGGCGGGCACACGGCGCUGCACAUAGCCGCCAUGCACGGCCACGCCGAGGUGGUGAAGCUGCUGGUGGGAGCCUACGACGCCGACGUGGACAUCCGCGAUUACAGCGGGCGCAAAGCCGCGCAGUACCUGCACCAGGGCACGUCUGGGGAGAUGCGGAACCUCGUGGGGGCCCUGGAGGAGGAGGAGGAGGAGGAGGAGGAAGGGGCUGCCAGCAACGGGAGCGGGCGCUGGAGGCUAUCCAAGGUGCUGCCCUCCCAUCUCAUGAACUACCGGCUGUCCCAUCACCACCACCACCACCACCACCAUCACAGCACCGGGGAGGAAGCUGAGGGCACAGAAGGGGCCGCGGUGCCAGGCAAGGGCAAGGAGAUGACCAGGAAAGCCUCCGGCAGCGGGCGGAUGAAGCCUCGGCUUAAUAAGAUCCGCUUCAGGACUCAGAUCAUCCACAACACCCCCUCCUUUCGUGGUGACGCCGAGGAGGAAGAGCACGAAGAGAAAUCCCUGAAAGCGUCGUUCAAGCUCAGGCCGAAGUCCAAUGUCUUUGGAUAAGGCUGGCGAGCAGGAGGUCCGGGAGGUGGGCGCAGGGACCAGAGUGCCCAAGGGUGUAGUGAGGCAGGUACCGAGUGGGUGCUCGUUUACACUCGUGGACUCUGGGCGGAUGAGUCCCGAGUAUCUUGCUUUAAUUCUCAGUUCGGGGGGGUCAGUGAGCCCAGGGGGUCGACGGGGCUCUGGUGGCUUACAGCUCCCGAGAGCAGCUGCUUCGGCAGGGCCCUCACUGCUGAAGUGAGAGGCAGCGGGUGCAUUGAGAAAUGCUGGGGUGUUUAAAAGCUGUGCUCCUUUCUCUCAAAAAGCGGGCUUUGGGAUCAGAAACCUGUGUUAGCCCAGCUUUUCCUGCCUGUGAGGACUUCUGUCUUCUGCUUCCCAAGACAAGUGAAGCAUCGCCUCGUCUGAGACCAGCAAACACUUCCAACGCAGUACUCGGCAAAGAGCAACUCAUGAAAGAGUGAGCUGAUAAAAAAAUUACUGUGUAACUGAACAUGUAAAUGAAGGGGUUGGUCCCUUAAGUGUGCUCGGAGAGUAAUAAGCACAAGGAUACCAGCCAAAUCACAGCAAAAUGGAAUUAAGAUAUCCUAACCACUUAAAUAUGCUUGCUUGUAAAUGACAAUGGAGCCUUGCUAGCCAGAACCUGCUAUACCAGAAGACUAGUUUAGCUGAAUACUAGCCACCUAUUGCAUGGAGUGAUUGCCACCAGAAGGAUUUCUGUGCUGUGUUUAAAAGUUAUUCUUUCUUUGCUUUGUCCUCUGCCAAAAAACAUUUUUUUGUUUUUUUUUAAAUCCAUGGAGUACAUAGUCUAUCUGGAAAGCAAGCAAACACCACAUUGCAGUAAUAUGCCCUUUCAAAUAAUAACAUACUGCCAAAACACUCCAAUUGGAAAGUUUUCACUGAAUUGUAUAUGAAGAUAAGGCUUUAUCCUUGCUGGUUCGUUUACACCACACACACCUUAUGGUCACACCCUUCAUCACAUUAGUAUAAAGGUGCAUCUGCAGACAGAUUCUUCUUUCCAGAAACAAACAUUUCCACAUCAAGAUGGUUAACCCAUGACCCAUGACAAGGCAGUACAGUUCAUGUGCAGAUAAGGUUUUAGAGCUCAGAUUAGGAAUCUCACAUAUUUUUGGCAGAAAUGUUUUUUCCCUCCUCUGUAUUAGCUGUUUGAUAAUGGUCUUGCAAAGACAGCAAAUAUGACCUUCAGGAAGAUCAAGAAGGAGAAGCAAGCUGAAGCAUGGAUUGAAAAUCAAAGACAAAGCGGUCUGAAAAUGUGGGGUGAAACUGUAUGGUGAGCAUCGGAGCUGCAAUACCCGGGCUGCUGCAAUACCAAGCCAGUAGUCAUGUUUUCCUGGCAGAAUUACUCAGAGCAUGGACUUGAGAGUCUCAGUCCCUCCACUUUUAGUGGAGAAAGGCUGGUGCUUCAAGGAGGGCUCCCCCCCUGUGGAUUUUACCCUGAAUCGGGGCUGCAUCUCAGGUGCUACUCACAGAUGGGGAGAGAGGGGGUCACAAAAAAUCGGUGUUCUAAUGGCUGUUCCUUAAAUCUGUAGAUACAGGAAAUCUAAGUGGGUUACACUGUCAGUAAGAAUUUCUGCUUACUUUAACAUCCAUAUGGAGAUCUCUCCCUCACCAGAUUAAAGUUGUUUCAGAACAAGAGGUUUUGAUUUUCUUCCAUUGGCUCAAGACACCUCCAGCUGUGCACAGGGUAGGCUGGGAGCCCCAGGCAGAUUCCUUUUCUCUAAGAAUCCUGCCAGGAAAGCAGGGCUGGGACCCCUCAGGACCCUCGCCAGAGGAGAUGGGCAGCACGGCCUGCAACUACUGUCUCCUUAUGGCUAUUUGCAUCCCCUCUCCUGCUCUCUCUUCUUCCCACCUGGAAAGCAACUUACAUAUACAAAUGUGGGAAUUAUUUCUUGGAGAAGUUUCAGUAACGCUGCAACAUCUUGUGAAUU